rnacentral:tRNA from 1 species
AAGGAUUUAAGUUAAGUAAACUAUUAACCUUCAAAGUUAAAAAUAGGAAAUCCAUUCUAAGCCUUA